rnacentral:lncRNA from 10 species
AAAGGGUUCUACAAGGAAGGUUUAUGAAAACCUUGAGAAUAAAAAUGCAGAAUAAUCAUAUCCUUAUAGAUUGUAUCAAGACGACAGAAAUUGUAUGAUCAGACCCCUGACCAUCGCCUCAGCUCAUCAUUGCGUCAUCUGGAUGGCUUCCCUAAGCUCCCACCUGGGCCCAGAAAGGAAACGGCUUAUGACCUGCAGUCUUUGACUAUCACCAUCUCCAUUCUAUUUAUGGCCCUGCUGCACCUCUGUGCAAAUUAGGAGAAGGUGACCCUCUUGUGGGGAUGGAGGAGAAGGACAAACCAGGCCGUGAUCUGGCCAGUAAAGUGGGACUGGGCUGGCUCCUGGUGGGCUUUGGUAAGGUGUAACCUGCACCAUGGUCAUUACUGCCCAAAAUGAGAGCCAUCAGCUUGCUAAGAAUCGCUGAGCCCGGAGCGCCACUCUUGGGUGAAGAUGCUUCUUUCAGAUCCCCGCCUACCCACCUGCAAGGCUUGCAGGAAGUCUUGAGAAGAACCAAGAAGGAGGCUGAUGCUCCUAGUUGUUCAUGAGCAGCCAAUGUGGUAGGCUGAUGCCUAACAGUUUCCACCUUCUUCUGCAUUUGUGGCUGAGGAUCUACCCAUGAGCCCCACAGAGCAAGAGCUGCCAGAUUAAUGCUCCUGCCUAUGACAUGGAAAUUGUCAAAAAUAGACCUGAAUCCUUGCCAGGCCUCCCCAUGAUUUCUGUGUAGUAUGGCCUUAAAUAUAUUAGAUAAGUCAGAAGCCUAAAAUAGCUCAGCUCUUAGAAUAACAGAAUUUGGUCCCCUCCCACUUCCGUAAGUUGAAUUCUUAAUUGCUAAAUUUCAGGCUUUUUUGUUGUUGUUUAUGUAAGAAUUUCAAGGCCACAACUCCAUAUUUGAAGUAAAGUGCUCAUAAAAUUAAUUGCAAGGUUUUGAGAAGCCAUCUGCAGCUCACAACUAGAUGAGUGACACAAUCAGAUGUGCGUAUGCAAAAAAAAGCCUGGAGACAUUGAACUAAGAUCAAAUUUAAUGUAUUAAAUAUGGUAGAAAGAAGAGAGAAUGAAAAAUAAUGUUAACAAUCUAGGUGAGGAAUUGCUGAGGAGACAAAUUAAGUAAAUCCUGUGGAAGGAAAGAAGAAAGGAGGAAAGAGGAUUGGAUGGAAGAAUCUCCACUUCUCAUAGGUGUAGUCCUUCCUUAGCCUGCUUUUUAAUGAGUGCUGCUAAAGCCCUUAGCCUGCCUGUUUACCCUUGGAGUGGAGCAAUGAACUGAAGAUAUUUGAGUGAGUUCAAGAGAGACUCAGAAGAGAAGAAUUGGAGGCAGCAAACAUAGACAGCACUUUUAAUGCUUUUCUCAUAUGCUGUAAGACAUGAAAGCAAUCUAUUGGGAUGAAAGCUGAAAGGAGAAGCGGGACAAGAGAAGUGAAUCCGUGGAAGACCCCCAAAAGAGGCUGCAGAUUCUUAGUGGACAGCUCUCAUAUCCCCUCCAGGGAAAAUGAUGAAAAAUGUCUUCAGAAAAAUAGCUUUAUGAAGGCAAGAGGACUUUUUGCACCUGCAAGACAUGUCUGAAAGCUCCUCAGGUCAAAACACAAGUAGUCAAGAGAUUUGUCCAUCUAAUUCAUCAUACUACUCUGAUCCAAGUGAGACCCACACUGGGUCAGCUCCAUCAAGGAGAAGAACAUUCCACCCACGUUUGGAUUCUGGAAUAUCAUCCUUGCUUCCAUCAGAUUCUUGUAAGUACCUCACUUGGCACAAGGUAGACAUGACGUUCAAGGAAGUCAACUGCGUUGCCCAAGAGUAAGAGAAGGAAUCUCUGAAGAAGAGCAACUUUUCAGACAGGUAGAGUGUGCCUUGCUCCCAAGGAAAAGAGUUCUUGAAAAAAACAAAUGGGAAACAUGGCUACAAGAAAACUGGGAAGACUGCAAGAAUUUGAACAUUUCAUUUCAGGGUUUGGGGGAUCCUUACCAAGUUGAAAAUUUUAACAGAAUUCUUAGAAGACUAAUUCGAGUUGAAACCCUCUGGUUAGUGGAUAAUUCACUGGUGGACUUAAGUGCCAUAAGAUUGCCAAGAGUAUUCUCCUGUUUGCCAAACUUAAAAAUGCUGGAUGGAAUCUUGAAGCUACCAGAAGAUUGCUUAUCACCAGAAACCAAUAUUUUUUCAAAAAUAUGCCUUGUAUCCUAAUGCAGUCUGUAUAGAAAGAAAGCAAUCAUCAUUGUUGCUAAAAGCUAAUAAACACAGGACAUGCAUGAUUAAAUAUUGCAGUUUAUUUUAUAUCUUUUUGCUUUUCUAAAUCAAGGCAAAAACAUGCUAACUGACAAGAAAAUCAUGGGUUUUAUACAAGGAUAACAAGUGCUGGGUUGCUUAGCUAUGAGGAAGGCUAGGCUCACUGCAUACCAGAAGAUGUACAGCGUUGGAGAAUUCAGGGAUUUUUAUCAACAAUCAAACUAUAUUUGUGGAAAUUUUGUGCAUAAGUGCCAAAGAUGGCUGACAUCGGACCACAUUCUAUUUAACUCAACUGAAUGACACCAAGCUCUCAUCCUAAAACUUAUAGUUACAUCCACCCUUCUGAAAUAUUUAAUUAUUCUCCAAUACACUGGAGGUAAUAGGUAUAAAAAGAAUGAGCAUGUGCAACUUAGUAUCUCAUAUCUAAUUUUGUGUCCCAAGUUCAUUCUUCCCCUGAAUGUCCCAUGUCUACCAGGUGCAGGAUUAUCUGGAUGGGUCAGUUCAAAACAAUUUCAGGGAAUAAAUUGUGUAGGGGACUCAAUUUUCUGAGACAGAAACAUAAUGUGAAUAACUCCUUUGUUAGAAAAUAAUUUCAGUGACAGAAAGCCUUUCAGUUCAUAAAGAAAACUUACAUAUCAACAAGCCUAGCUCCUCACUAGUCCCAGUGAAUGCUUACAUCAAUCAGCUCUACAAUAUCCAGUAAAGGACUUUCCAAUUCGCCUUUGAAUAAACUGAGGUAUUGGAAACAUCUAAGAAAAUGGUUUUUAAUUCUUCCUAAUCUUCAGGGAGUUCUUCCUUAUAUUGAGCUGAUAUCUGCCCUCUGUAACUUUCAACUAAUUAUUCAAAUCUCUCAAGUGAUUAUAAUUAAUUCCAUCUUAUAAGGAAUUUUUCUCAGCUUCCAGCCUCUUGAAAAUACUCUGAUAUUUUCUCUAAUAUUCAAGUGGAAAUGUAAAUGGGUAACGUAAGAGUCUGUGGGGUUAGGAGGGUGGAGGAAAGGUAAGGGAAAGCUAAUGAGAAAUAACCAAAGCAAGAAAAAGAAUUUUAUUUUCUUCAAGUUCUUUGUACAUCCAAAGUGGAAGAUUCCUAAAAUAAAUUCCCCAUACCACAUUUUAAAAAUUAGGUUAGCAAGCUUACUUUUUAAUUUAUUUAGAAGCCAACUACUUCCAUUUAUUAUUUCUUUCCAGAAUAGAACAAUUAUCACUAAUUGUUUGUCAUUAUAAUGCCAAACUAUGUUAAUAGAUGCCUAUUUUUUUAAAGGCUAAUUGCAAUCAUGAAACCAAAUAUCUAAUUAGUUUUAGAGCUUUGGACCACAUGCAUCAAUAUUUGAAUCAUUCAGGUGUAUAUUUGCUUUCUGCUUUUUUGUCUCUUCAAAAGAAGUAUUAUAUGCAUUCUGUUUAUAAUUUCUAAAUGGUCAUUUCAAAACUGAUUAUACGAGUUUAUACAAAUCAUACUGAAAUUUGUUGCUUAAAAAAUCUUCAUUUUUCUCUAAGCUCUCAGUGUCCUUGAGCUAUAUAUAUUUUAUGGCAAUUUUUACUUAAUAGUUUGUAUGCUAGUUAUUUUUGACAAUGACUACUAAAAUGCAAGUUUCUUCAAGGGCAGAUUCACCUUAGUUCUUCUUUAUACCCCUCAAAAACCUCAGGGUUAUUCUCAAUAAGUAUUGAGUAGGUGAGUGAACUUUGGAUGUAUACUCCUUGAAAUUAUAUUUCUGGAGCUGGAAAACUUUAAAAAAAUGUAUGUCAUGAGUCUAAAGAAAUAAACAUUAUAUGGCUGAAAAAAUACUUUGUGAAAACCAAAAAUCUCAUGGAAUCAUGAACUUAUCUAUGGGACAGAUGUUAGCCCUGAGGUUGUUCUGGGCUUCUUUUCUACCCACUUCCCAUGACCAAAUCAGUUCACUAGUCAGCAGUUCUAUCCUUCCUCUCCUUCUCCUUCCAUCUAAGGAGCUAGAGCUGAACUGCUUGGCCACUGAUUGCUGACAUGCUGAGUUUUCUACAGCUGGAGUUUUCAAGAGGGCUUUGAUUUUGCUUUCCCCAGUUUUCCUUCUUCCACACUUGAAAAGUGGUAAGGGUACCAGCUUUCUGUCUAUCUCUGACUCUCUCUCUCUCUUUCACACACACACACACACACACACACACACACACACACACUUUUUUUUUUCUUCCACCCUCCUGCACAGCAGGAGACCUUGCCUUGAUCUUUGAAGGUCUACAGCAAGUGGUCUAGGCUAACUCAGUGCUGGGCAAAUGGAGCAAAAACUCUUUUCUGCUUCCUUGCCUCCAUGUCUUUCAGAGCUAGCAGAUACAGCUUUUGUUCUAUAGGAGUGAUUCUUUCUAAAUGUCAGCUCAACAGGAUGAUGGUCACUCUUGUAUAUCACUUAGGCAUGAGUUCUGUUGAAUCCCA